rnacentral:rRNA from 1 species
UACGAAGGGGGCUAGCGUUGUUCGGAAUUACUGGGCGUAAAGGGCGCGUAGGCGGUGUGUCAAGUCAGGCGUGAAAGCCCCGGGCUCAACCUGGGAACCGCGCUUGAGACUGGCACGCUAGAGUUCGGGAGAGGAUGGUGGAAUUCCCAGUGUAGAGGUGAAAUUCGUAGAUAUUGGGAAGAACACCGACGGCGAAGGCAGCCCCCUGGGCUAACACUGACGCUCAGGCACGAAAGCGUGGGGAGCAAACAGG